CCUGACAAGCCGCUGGGGUUACCGUCAACGGAUGGAAGCUUUGUUCCUUCGCUCUUCGUGAUAAAUCUUGGUGUAGCUCACCCUUUGGGUCCACACUACUUUUAAGAGCUGUAACACUCACUGUGAAGGUGUGUGGCUUCUCUCCUGAAGUCAAUGAGACCACGAAACCACCAGAAGGAAGAAACAUUGGACACACCUGAACAUCUGAAGGAACAAACUCCGGACAUGCCGUGUUUAAGAACUGUACCACUCAGCGCGAGGGUCUGUGGCCUCAUUCUUGAAGUCAGCGAGAGAAAGAACCCACUGGAAGGAACCAAUUCUGGACACACAGUAAACAGCACUUGAUUGGCCAACAGAAACCUAUUUCGUUUACAAAUGGUCGUUCCAAGGUGAAUGGACAAUAUCCUGUUUGGAAGGCUGCCACACUAUGACCAACUGUUGAAAAAACCCUGAUUGACGAUAAGAACAAAGCAGACCAAUUGCCCUGGCUGCAACUUCCAGUACAAUGUUGAAUAUAAGUGGCAAUAGUGGACAUCUUGGGAAUGUCAGCGUCCUGGUGACCCCGACCUCUGGCGGAUGUCCUUGGUGUUCACAGGGCAGCAAUGUGUGCUUGGGUACAUUGUUGUAGAAGGACAACAUGGAAAUACAACUUGCCAGUGAACAUGUUUAAUCCUCUCCUAUGUUGUGGUAGUUUUUCAAAUAAUUUGUCCAUCUCCCCUGGCUUAUGACUUUUUCUCUUACUGAUGCAUAGAGGUCUCUUAUGUAAUCUAGUUAUAAAAGUUGC
rnacentral:lncRNA from 1 species